UUGAGCGCUGGCGGCAGGCCUAACCCAUGCACGUCGAACGGUAACAGGAAGAAGCUUGCUUCUUUGCUGACGAGUGGCGGACGGGUGAGUAAUGUCUGGGAAACUGCCUGAUGGAGGGGGAUAACUACUGGAAACGGUAACUAAUACCGCAUAACGUCGCAAGACCAAAGAGGGGGACCUUCGGGCCUCUUGCCAUCAGAUGUGCCCAGAUGGGAUUAGCUAGUAGGUGGGGUAACGGCUCACCUAGGCGACGAUCCCUAGCUGGUCUGAGAGGAUGACCAGCCACACUGGAACUGAGACACGGUCCAGACUCCUACGGGAGGCAGCAGUGGGGAAUAUUGCACAAUGGGCGCAAGCCUGAUGCAGCCAUGCCGCGUGUAUGAAGAAGGCCUUCGGGUUGUAAAGUACUUUCAGCGGGGAGGAAGGGAGUAAAGUUAAUACCUUUGCUCAUUGACGUUACCCGCAGAAGAAGCACCGGCUAACUCCGUG
rnacentral:rRNA from 1 species